rnacentral:rRNA from 1 species
GGAAUUGUUCGCAAUGGGCGCAAGCCUGACGACGCAACGCCGCGUGGAGGAUGAAGGUCUUCGGAUUGUAAACUCCUGUUGAUCGGGAAGAAUGGACCUCGGGUGAAUACUCCGGGGUAAUGACGGUACCGACUGAGGCAGCCACGGCUAACUCUGUGCCAGCAGCCGCGGUAAUACAGAGGUGGCAAGCGUUGUUCGGAAUUACUGGGCGUAAAGGGCGCGUAGGCGGCCGCCUAAGUCAGACGUGAAAUCCCCAAGCUUAACUGGGGAACUGCGUCUGAUACUGGGUGGCUUGAGUUCGGGAGAGGAAUGUGGAAUUCCAGGUGUAGCGGUGAAAUGCGUAGAUAUCUGGAGGAACACCGGUGGCGAAGGCGGCAUUCUGGACCGAAACUGACGCUGAGGCGCGAAAGCCAGGGGAGCAAAC